GUUCUGGGCUUGCCUGGGAGAAGGAGCUGUUGCAGUCUUGCACGAUCAAAAUAGGGCCUUUAGGUUUGAAGGAUGAGGUUGAGCCCAUAUUUUGACUCCAAAUGUCGGGGGAGGGGAGAAGAAGUCGACAGAUCCAAACAAGGAACAUUUGAAUGAAAUGCAGAUAACUCUUUAGAAAACUUUUGUAGGAAAAGCGCCUCGUGUGAUCUGGAACAAAGACGUUUUAUAAUCAGAUUUAUCAAGCUGCGAAGAGGGAGUUUUAGUGAACGGAAGCAGCAGCAUUCUGUCACCAGGAAAUACUCCUUUAUCCAGAAUUGGUAAGUGAAAAGUGGCAUUGCUCCCUAAUAGAUAUCAUAUGCGUGUGUGGGAAUUGAAAAAUUGUUCACAGACCCCUAACAACUGUGUUGAACAGAGAACACAUAAACAGUGAGGAGUUCUAAAAAAGAGCAGCACGAGAAUACCGCAUAAAGACUGAGAAGAAGCCAGGUAAUUAACAAAAAUGAGCUGAGUGCUAUCAGUUUAGCUAAACAUAUGUAAUACAGCUAGAUUUGGUUGUUUUAUUUUUUCUUGUUAGUGGAGGAGAAACAUAAAAUCAGAAUGGGCUGUUUAGUAGAAUUGCGACAUUAACUUUCCAUGGAUGUAGAUUUCCAUUUAGUCUGAAUAGCAUGUAUGAAAUUUGAAGGGAUGCUUUCAGAAUUAGUCUACUUGCCCUCCUUUCCUUUCCUCUGCAUUAAGAUGUCAAGUAUUUAGUUAGAACCUUACAAGAUGAAAGUUGUACAAAAUGAAAGUUCAAGUAAUGCGUCGGAAACACCUCUCCUGAUUGGGAAGGGUAGAUUACAAUGGCAAUAGAUUUUUGUUUUUUGUUUCUUACAUUUGUGUCACGAAUUUUAAGUUUGUUCUAUUGGAUUACAUUAGUACAGCAAAAGGGGGGUUAUUUCUAUCUAUAUGGUUCAUGACAUUUUGAGAGGUCGUGAUUAGUAGUUCUUACUGGUUUCGUAUGCGUGUUCCUGCCUGUUGAAUUCAGUUUUCUAAUCUUGAAUCUGAGCUGCCUUUAUGUUAAAGGGUUCUAGAAAAAGACAAUAAAGCUUUGAAUACCCGUGUUAUAUACAACAGGUUCCUGUUCAUGAUGUAUAAGGUAACGCAAUUUUAUUUUAGGCAUGAAUGUCUAAUUUCUUGAUUUGGCUUCUUAAGAAUAUACUGAAAAGGUUGAAUAGAAUAAGAAAAAGAACAUUAGAAAAGAAUGGUGGGUGACUGCCUGAUUUUACUAGUUUCUUAUUGGUCAAUAGAAGUAAUCAUGUGAUGUCUACUUAUAGAAGCAAAUGGAAAAAAUUUUUCUUCUUUAACUGCUAACAAGUAUAUAGGCAAUUUUAGCAAUCUUCAUUUAUUAAUUUGAAUAUAUAAUUAUAACUGUUAUUAACAGAAUAAGUUUUGGGUAAUAUAGGAAAUAAUAAUUAUUUCUUUCUUUUUAAGCCAAAUUGGAAGUUGAAUCUACUUUUGGUUCCUGUUCUGUUACUUUCAAAAUCUUAAAAUCCUUAACUCAAAAGGGAAAAUGUAUAAUAAAACAGGAUAGCAGUGCUGAAAUUUCUCUCUCUUAGCAGUGGAGUGGGAUGAGGGUGGGGGAGGGAGAUGAAUCUAGUGAGAUAUAUUAAUUGUUUUUUCCCCCUCUUGUAUACUUGGAUAACUUUUGAGAUCAGUUUUCUCAGACUAGCAGCUCUCAAGACUUUUGCAUAAGUAUUUAUUCUUAAAGAAAUAGAAAGACAAGAUAAGCACGGCUCUUAAGGGCAGGUCCUCCAAUAAGUCAGGAAACGGGUGAUCCAAACUUGUGAACAUGACAAGUCAAUUUGACUUAAUUAAGGAAUGGCAUUAGUUUUCUUGAAGCACAUGAAUUUAUAGGUUUUUAGAGUCUUGAAGACAGAAAAAUGGCAACAAAGCAUUAAGGUAUUUACAGAUAAUUUAUAUUCAACUGCUAGCUUAUGUUUUCAACUCUGUAUUUCAUGUAAGUAAAUACUUGGGGAGAACAUGAUGAUUUAAUAAUCUGGAUAAAUACUGCCGUGCCUGUUGGAAAAAAGCCUCUAAUUUUUAGGUUUUCCUCAUCCAUUUAAAAUCCAUUGUUUUGAAUGACAAAAUGUGAUAGAAACAGGUUGGAACAGUAAAUGCUAGAAAGUAUAUCCCAGAAGAAUUAACUGAGAACUUCAUGUUUUCAAUUCUAUUUGCCGUUCUCUGUUCUCAAUUUGUUAAUUUUUAAAAGUACAUCGAAAGUGAGUAGCAUUGCUUGCUCUGAAUUCUCCUCUGGGGUCAUUGAGAGUAUUCACAUUUUCGUAUACCCUGUUAAAAGAUAUUAAUGCCAUGCAUAUGCCUUUGUCUUUGUGGGUGUGUAAAACAACAAACUGAAGGGAUCUGGUCAAGAGACAGACCUCAAAAUAAUUUCUCUGAAAUAGUGUUUGAAUUUGCAUGUUCGGGAACGUAAAUGCUUUCCCUUUGGGCUUGUUUCUUAAGUUUUUGGUGUAGUAUACAGUUUUACCCAAUUAAAUUUUUCUUUUGAGGUCUGUAUAUGUAUGGGUGUCUAUAUUUGAUUUGAAGGGGGAGUUUUAAUCAUUAGUGAAACAAGUGGCUGUUUGUUAGAACCCAGAUAAGCCUCAUAGUGUUGUUCCUAUGACAACUGAGUAGUUGGGUGUUGAAAUGUAGCUUUAAGUUCUUGGUUUGGAAAUGUCAUUCAGACCUCCCACUAUAGUCUCAUUGAGUAGGAGGAUAAUGAGAAGGGGAAAAACCAUGAAGCAACAUAAGUAUCUCCGUUCGUUUCAUGUCUUCCUGACUUGUCUUUGUGUACAGGAUCGCCAUGGGAGUGGUAAACAUAGGUCUUGAACAAAGCAAUACUUCAAUUAAAAAAAUACAUGGAAAGGGUCAGAAAAGUUGGGGAAGAUAAAUAACAACACAUGGGGGCAAUAAAGAGGCAAGAGAAAUAGGCUUCCAUGGGUUUCUGCAAAUCCUUUAUCCAGUGCUGACCAGCAGUGAGAACAUCUUGAACCAGUUAUUGUAUAGCUCUUCAAGAGCUGUGAAUUUCCUUAAAAUGCAAUGUGGAGAAAAUUCCUUUGGUAGCAGGAUGGUUUACCACUUUGGCAUAACGUUUAUUCAUCUCCCCCAGGCAGACUACAGAGGAUACUGUGUUCUUUUAAGGCACAUGUUUUUAAACCAGUUGUUCAUUUGUCAUUUAAUAGCUUUUGUCUUUUUUCUAUGGGAAAGACAAGGUUGUACUAUUAAAAUAGUGAUAAAAUUUAAGUAUUUUAUUCUAUAUUCAAAAAGUGCUUUUGAAAAGUACUUAGAAAAAGAUUGUUUGAGACCUGUUGUUUGUGGAAAUGUCUGUCAAUGGAGAAUCUAUGGAGCACUGUAUUUGAGGAGAGGGAUUGUUCAGACUAAUAUUUGGCAUAGCUUAAUUAUGCAGUUGUUGAUUUUCCAUGUCUGAAGGUCUUCCUAUUUCCUACUCCUAAAUAGUUUUAACUAUUUAUUUGGUUGCUAGAACCUCCUGAAGUUAGAAAGAAAAAGAUUUCAGUGGGGUUAGUCUCUUAAUAAAUAUAUGCCCACCAUCUCUUCUGUAAUCCAAAAAGCUCUGAAAAUCAAAAGAUUUUCAUGUAACAAAUUUGGCAGCAAAUCCUGACCUGAACUGAUGUGAAGCUAAUGAUAGUCUUUGUUUAGCUCGCUCAGAAUGAAUCUUUGUAUGUUUUACUGUAGAAGUAUUAAUGUGUUUGAUCACGGAGUAUUGUUCCAGACUCCCCUAGAGGUUUAUAUACUAUAUUGAAUAGUCAACCUAUUACCUUUAUAAAAUAAUAAUAAUAAUCAAUCUGAGUGUCAGGUAAGCAUUUGUGGACCCAUAAUUACUGACAUACAUUGAGUUCAUAUUAUAUGCCGGGUACCAUUCUAAAUGAAUCACUGGCAUCUAAGAACAGUGUCUGGCACAUAGUAGGUACUUAGUAGACACGUUUUGGUAGGAACUGCUUUACACUUAUUAAAUUCUUUAACUCACAAAAACAGUAUACAGGAAGUAGCGGAGCCAAGAUUUGAAAGCAGACAGUCUAGCUCCAAUCUGCUCUUAAUGAUUCUGAUGCAGGUACAAGAGAGGACUGGAGAUGUGGCACUGGACUUCUUAACUGAGUCAGAGGGGGUGUUUGAGUGAUUUACUUUAUUCAUAGUCACCCUAUACCUCCUACGAUCAAGAGCUGGUGGUAUCACCACUAUGGUCAUUAGCCGGGGCUGUGGUUGAAUGCUUAUAACAGGUUCUCCUGGGUGGGAGUGUAGGAAUUCCAGGGGUCUGAACUCUCCUCACAGGCUUCCCAAGGUGAUCUCCAUCAGUAAAUCAGCCCGACUUUUUCAUCUUGAAAAAUUAAGACAUAGGAAAUAACUCUUUCCUUAACCCUAAGGAAGUUUCCUUGAACAGUGGGAAAAACGUUUUUGUAGACAUUCCUUAGACCCCUUACCCAGCAGGAGGUGUGGAAUCAAUAAAGAGGGCAUGGGUCACCUCCAAGGUUGUGAGCUCCCUGGCUUGGGAACUACACUGGGACACAGCAGAGCCUCUUGGCAGAAAUCAGGCAGCCCAUGGAGCUUCAGCUGCAUGACUCUUUGAAUUCACAAAAGGAUACCUUUAACAGUACUUCUCAAAAAAUGUAUAUAAGGCAUGUCUCAAGUCCCUAUAUGUUUCUAGGGAUAAAAAAAUUCAUUUCAAACUGAUGGCAACCUCCCCAUUCUAUUCCCCAGCUUUCUAUCCUUCUUCCUGCUUAAUUUUUCUUCUUAGCACUUGCCUCUGUCUGACAUAUUGUAUGUCUUACUUAUUUAUUCAUUUGACAUUUUAAUUAGACACUAGCAGUAUUGUUUUCUUUGAAUACAUUUAAAGGUCCUAGAUUUAUUUCUUUUUGAUGCUCAUCUUCUAACUCAUUCCCUCCUAUCAAUCUCAGACUGCUGUAAAUAAAUGAUUUUUUGCCUUUUUUUUUUUUUUUUACUAUUAGUUAUCAUAUUUAUUUUUCUUAAACAAGCUGUACUGGUUAUACAGUCUGAAUUUGGAGAAUAGACGUCUUCAUUCAGGAGGGGAAAUUGAGCCAAGUUUGAAUAUAAUCAUUGGGUAACAAAUCCAGAAGAUUAAGUUACUAAGGAGAACAUGCAAAGUAAACACUUGCAUUUUAUGAACUACCUUCAAUUUAAAUAGACAACUGGGUAACUGUAUAUGACAUGUUUUGGGAGUAAGACCUGUUAAACCUACCUACUUCCUACUGUUUUCAUUUGAAAAAUAAAUCAAUUAUUAAACAGUUAUUCUACACAUUAAAGACUGUAAGUGAUUUAACCUUGAAUAUUUCCUGACUCAAGUUCUUAAAAUCCUCAACUCUAACCUCUUGUUUUUCAACCCCAUAUUUAUUCUAGUUUAUUCUUUCCAACAUAUUUAGGGCAAUCUAAAACAUAAAGUAAAAAAACCCCCACAUAUAUUAUUAACUAUAAACAAUGUGGUUAUGUAAAUGCAUCAUUUUAGUUGAUCUUUUUUCUUUAGCCUAGUUCUUUUUUUCUUUUCUUUUCUCUCUCUUUUUUUUUUUUUUUUUUUUUUUUUUGAGACAGAGUCUUGCACUGUCACCCGGCCUGGAGUGCAAUGGUGUGACCUUGGCUCACUGAAACCUCCACCUCCUGGGUUCACGUGAUUCUCCUGCCUCAGCCUCCCGAGUAGCUGGGAUUACAGGCACACACUGCCACGCCCGGCUAAUUUUUUUUUAUUUUUUAUUUAUUUAUUUUUUAUUUUUAGUAGAGACGGGGUUUCACUAUGUUGGCCAGGCUGGUCUUGAACUCCUGACCUUGUGAUCUGCCCGCCUCAGCCUCCCAAAGUGCUAGGAUUACAGGUGUGAGCCACCGCGCCUGGCCUAGACUAAUUCUUAAAGGAACAGAUUAGAUACAUACAAAAGUUGAAUUUAGUAUGCUUUUGUAAGUUAAUAUAAUGAUUGGGACAUUUUGUUUUCUUAGCUAUGCUUUAUAACAAAAUAGUUCUAGUUACUUUCUUUUAAAUGGUUACUAAAGUAAUAACUUGCUUUUUAAAAACAUAGUAUAACUAUUUAAGGUAGACUAUGAAGAGUAGGCUGAGGUUUCAUUUUAAAUUAUCUCCUCUUUCUGCCAUGGAAGAGUUUAAUUCCCCUGAUGUGCUUAUGGUAUUGAAAGCCCAUUGUUGGUGUUGGUAUUGAAAGAAAGCUUAGUUUUUCUGCGUUUCCUAAAAGGAGAGGGAAGAAAGAUUUUUAAAAGUGAAAAUCCAUUGAUUUUUUUUUUUCUUGAUUAGGAUUUGUAUAAUAUAUCUGAAGUGAGACUAGAGUUCUUAAAGUUGAGAGAAACAGUAAAUAUGUACACGCCCGGCAAAACUUUGCAGGGAACAUUCAGAGUUCGGAUUACCUGAAAAAAAUCUUGAAAGCUUCAGACAUUUUCCAGAGAGUGUUAGUGCGUGAAAGUGGUACCCAUGACCCCAAGAGGGUGUCCAUUCACAGCCUCCAUUGAAGUAGUUUACUCCCUAAGAGGCCCAGGCUUUGGAAAUAAGUAGAUUUGUGCUUUAAGCUCCCUUUGCCCCUUGCUAGCUGAGUAAGCUACUCCGCUAUUUCCCUGAGCCCCAGAGUGUAGAGCAUCAGAAGUAGUGCACAGGUUUGUUGUGUGAGAUAACACAUGUAAAGCACAUGCUGUGGGACCUGGAGUAAUGGUGCUUAACACACUUGCAUUCCCUUCCAAAAUCCCUUUAGGAACAGACUUCUUCAGUUUAGUCCUAAAGCCUGUAGAUCCAUGCUAAGUGAUAUGACUUUUUUUCACAUCAGAUUAAGCAAAACACUGAUGAUGGUGACUGUCGCUUAUUGUGCAGUUACCAUGUUCUGGACAGGCACUGUUGUAAGGGCUCUACCUGCAUCGACCCAUUUUUCCUCAUGACAAACUAUUGGUGCAAUUAUCAUGCCCAUUUCAUAGAUGAACACACAGAGGCACAGAGAGGUAAAGGAACUUACUUAGGGCCACUCAUCUGUCAUGGAACCAGAAUCUAAAUCCAAAUAGGCUGUUGCCAGUACAGAUGGUAAGUACAUGUACUUCUGGCAGGAAAGCAGAAUAAAAGUUGACUGAACCUGAAAGUCUCGGAAAUGGUCUUCUCAUUUCUAUUCUGUAAAGUGUCACGUCUUCUAGGCCUACCUCUGUCAAUAUUGAAAUACAAAAUUAACUUUUUCUGCUUUUUAUUUCACAAAUCAACGGGAACAGUCUUAGUCAUUUGUGUUUUAUGAGUUUUAAUUAGGCCACUGCAGUCCAGGAGGGGAAUUCCUUGUUUUCAGUUGAUCUCAUAUACUAACAAGUUUAAUCAUGUAACUUCCCCUAUUUUUUUCUCUAAUGUUUUCACUUGAAAGUGGGGGUGGGAGGGAGAAGUAUGUUAGCAUUUGAGUCCUAGGGAUGCACUUACAUCAACCUUUCUGGAAAUUCCUUCUUGCUGGUAUAGAACUAAUCCAUAGAAAAAUGAAAUGUGUAAGAAUCUGUAUUUACUAAUAUUUUUCUUCUUUAUCUCCAUCUAGUUCUGGAUAUUUUCUGGAGGAUGGGGUAAAACUUCUAGAUAAAGAAGUACAGGAAGCCAUCUAUGUGCAUAAAACCUUAUGUUUGGGUGUGGACUUAAUUUUCAGAAUAUGGGAAAGGGGUUUCACAUUGAGAAUUUCCUCUUUCUGAUGUAGAUUGAGAAUUUUGACUUAGAAGAUGAGGGCAUGUUAUCCUAGCCCGUGGGUUCAGAGUGCUUGGAAGUCUCUUUAAAAAAAAAAAAAAAUCCCCUGGCCUUGGACUGAGCCUGCUCUUGGAGGAUUUAUUAAUCAUGCCGGCCUUCAUUCUUUCCUUUGUUUGUUCAUUCCUUCAUUUGUCCAUACUCUCGCAUAAGUCAUUCAACAUCUACCUGCAAAUAGGUGAAAGAAAGGAUGGGAGUGAGAGUCCAUCAGGGGACGGGAGAGGAGAAGCAAUAAACUCACUCUAUGUUCCUUUCACCUCACUGACUGCAUCUUGUAUCUGAUUGUUUGUCCCUUUGGAGACAACGUAUAUUUCACAGACAGACACUCACAACACUCAUGAAGGUCUUUAAGCAUCUUCCUUUGGGAGCUGCAUUUCUUUUUUUAAAGUGAGAGGAGAAAAUGCUUGUGAGGGAAAAACAGUGCAGAGAAAUGGUUUUUCUUUCUUUCUUUUUAAUGUUGGCGGAAGAAGGGUUCAUAGUAGGGAACGUAUCAGUAAAUAUAAUCUAAGAGCACUCAUGCUUUCAAAUAAUUUCCUUGUUUAAAGAUAUUAAGUGCAGUAGCGUUUACAAUUAAUGAUCACAACCAGUUACAGAUUGCUUUGUUCUUUCUCUACUCCUGCUGCUUCACCUGCCUACGCUUAUAAUAAAAGAACAUUAAGAGACAACAAAGGCCAUCACAAAGAUGUCUUCAAAAAUAAUUUUAAAAUAGAAUUUUAAUUAAUUUAAAGGUAAGAAGUGUUGCCAUGCCCUCAAUCAAAUUUAUUAUGACUUUUUGAAAAUAUCUCUAAGUAAAUAUAUAGAAAAUGAGGAAUGAACAUAGGGGAGGGCUUUUGGAAUUUAUACUACUAUUCUUUCAAAAAAUAUUACUCGUCUCCAUGUUGCAGUUAGGAAUACGCUUCCUUAAGACAGAGUCAUUAUCUUUACUUGUUAUUUAAAUCUUGAUAUCACCUCCUAUAGUUUUUGAAAGACAUCACUCUUCAAGUUGUCUUCAAUGGCACAAACUAUACCUGUGCAUUUUCUGAAACAAGUUUGACCAUACCAGCAAAGGCAAUGAAAAUGCUUUGUCUUUCAGCAUGAAAUGUGAAGUCUACAUUAUUAGUGGGUAUAUAUGGCCCAAGGGAAGAAAAUGUUGAAGUAGAUUUAAAAACAAAAACAAAAUCACUCACACUCUAAAAGAAUGUCUCAGUAUUUCAAGGCUCUUCUCUCUCUCUGUGUUAAAACCAAUAAGGAGGCCUCAGGACAAGUUAGGUUGAUAAUGACAGUGAAUAUCUACCUUUCUCCCCAUUCCGUUUGACAUCCAUACUCCAAAAGACCUUCCCUUAUUUGCUAUGCAUGGGUAGCAGGGAGAUUAUAGAGAAACUGUUCUUUUUCCUGCUUUCUUUUUUUACUGCUGGGGGAGUGAUCACUUUCCUACAGCUCUUGUCCACCUGGCCCUUGAGGCGUUUGGAGUUUUGGUAAGGUGUUAACAAAAAUUGUCUCAGGUGCCAACUAAAUUUCAUAAGCUUAUAGCAGCACAACAGACUAAGACACCACAUGGGAAAUGUACAUUUUACAAAAAUAUAUUAUACAUCUACCAUGUCUACCAUGUGCCUUAGAGAGUUCUGGGUCUGGUAAUACAGCAGUGAAUAAAGUCCCCGCUCACAUGGAGCGGGUAGGCUGAUGGUGAUGGAACUCAUAAGUAUACGGCAGGUGUUAGUAAACACUGCGGAGAAAAAUAAAGCUGUGUCAGAGAGAGAGUACCUGGGGAUCAGGGGUAGAGCGACGUUAACCAGGGCUAAUAGGAAGGCCUCUUUGAUGUUAUUAGGCCAGUGAGGAAUCAGCUGUGGGAGUGUCUGGAGGAAGAGGAUUCCAGGCAGAGAAAAUAAAAAAGUAACUGCAGUAGAGACGGGAGCAGGCUUUGUGUGUCCAAGAGACACAUCAUGGCAGAUCAGGUAGGACUCUGUUGGCCACAGUAAGAAGCUGUUUGGAAGGUAGGAAAUGAUAACUAGAGAGAGUGAAGAUGGUAUUCUGAGAGUCUAUGUGAUUUAUUGUAGGGAUCCCGGAGAGUCGAGCCCCUUGUGCCUCAUAACUGGAGUGUUUACAAGCCGUGUAAGGCCUUCUUGCAGUAAAAUGCUACUUUUGUAAUUUAAAUUAUUAUGCUAUGAAAACCUUAGCAAAGAUAGAUAAAGUUGAACUAUUUGAAGCACAAUUACAGCUAAAAAGCGCAAAGUGGGCAAUUCUUCCUAUCACAUCUACUCCUCAGAGAGAUGUGGGGUACCUGAAUGUCUAACUGUGGAAUGUUUUGAUUUGAUUUAAAUUUGCCAAAAACUCAUCUUCCAUAAGGCAUAUCUUUGCUGAUUUUUGCACUCAGUAACAAGCAGUUUAGAAUUUUGAACUGAAGGGAUUUUAAAUCCAUGUUUAAAGUGCUUUCAUUUUAAAAUAAUUCUUAGUUUUAUGUUCAGUCAGAUGAUAAGCUCCUUUUUAAAAUUCUGUAUGAAAACUUACUGUUUGGUACAGGUUAAGAAGUCUUGUUAUACAGUACUUAUUUUAUUGGAGGUACAAAGAGAGUGUGGAAAAAUAAAGGCAAUUGGCCAGGUGGGAAGGGUAAAAUUGUUUUAUGUACCUUUUCUCUUGUAAAGUUGUGUUAAAAACAUUUUUGUAAUUUCUUAAAGGUAGAGUUGAUUGCCAUAAUUUGAUUGCAGCCCCCUGUCAUUACUUCACUAUUAUACUCGGAUACUAAAUGCCCCUUACUAAAUCUAAGGAAAUGGGCAAGUUCUGUCAUCUGGGAGUUUACAUGUUAAGAGACAUUGCACGGGUGAGAACAGACAUAAAAUGUAUAUGUAAUUAUAUCGACAACAUACAGGGCUUAGAAAGGGGCUUGAUAGCCUUUUAUAGGUGUCGUCCAGGUUUAUCUUACUUGAAAUACUGCCUGAGACUCUAUACCUAAUUCUUAUCACAUAGCCUUUCUAUUAGUCAAUGAUAGAUUUGGGUUGGGUUAACCCUCAUAUUCUUUUAGCAAGGGACCCACCUGCAGAAAAGAGUUAUUAUUGGUUUUGUCAUUUAUAGUUUAGUUCAACAAGACCGGAUUUCCUCACCGCCUUUGGCUGAAACUGACUGACUAAAUCAGUUUCACUUGUGGGGUAGAGAAAUGAGUAAUUUGGGAACAUAGAGUGUUGUGUGGAGGAGAGCUUAGUUUGCUCCUCUUCAUCCUCCCCUUAGGUAAGAAGUCUGCAUUGAGAGAGGGAGAAAGAUUUGGGACAUCAUGGGGAAACUGACCCCCUUGGGUGAGACACAUUGGGAAUUAAGAGAAAGAUGUAAAAAUGGACCAGGAGAGGAUGUACAGAAGCCCCAGGGGAGCCAGAGAAUUUCUGGUCCUAAGCUCAAGUGUCAGCCUCAGUUCUGCCUAGCAUCUUGGACAUGCUGUCCCUGCUGGCUUAUCUCCUGUAAGACAAGGGGCAUACUCCUGACUUACUGAGCAUCCCAUCUCAGAGGAGCUGGGAGUACAAGGAAUUCAGGAAUGGACUUUCAAGACAACAUCUAACCCGAGUCUUCUGCAGACAUUUCUCUACUGAAUCUACUUUCUAAGUGUAGAUUAGUGUCUAAGAGAUAGACAUUAAGUUUCUUUUUCUACCAGCCUCUGACCCCCUUGCUUUGAGGAAAACACAUGUGUUGUCCACGAAGUGGUGAGUUCUGUUUGGUCCUUCCUCUAAGAUUGGUCCGGGGCUUGAGCCGUUUUGCCCCAUGUGCUCUGGGAUUUCCCCCGGUUGUCCCCCCAUAUAAGUAGACAACUUGCUGUCUGUGUUCUAAGACCUUCAUAUUUUUCCCUUUGACUUGAGUCUGUUCUGGAACAAUUGUGUGGUGGCUGGGCACUGCAAAAUGAGUCAGUUCCUGCAGUUUGGUUACAAGUUCUCAAAAAGUAUUUCAGAAUGUGGAUGUGGUCAGCAGAGUCAUUUUCCAGACAUCUAAAAGGAAACCCACAUCAACUGUAACAAUUGAGCUACGAACCGAUGGCUCUACACAACCGAAUGGGGCCUGCUUUUCCUCAAAGCCUGUAGGUGCCCUCAAAUCUAGCAUUCUCUAUGGAUCGGAAAGGAGAAUUCAUCUUCAUGCUUGUAGAUCACAUUUUAUCUGUUACUGUUGACAUAAAAAAAUGCGAUAGAGGUUUUGGCCUUCAUCACCUUUUGAAUGUGGGCACAAAUUUGACAUAAGAAAUAAUUAGUAAAAUGGAAUCUAUGGGAUUAGAGUAUAAUUAGUGCAAAGUGUGAAAUGUGGCUUAGGGAUAGAUGCUUGGGUAAUUGAACUAAUGCACGAAGGAGAGGUUAAGAUGGUUUGGGUACCGAUAGAGUACAUCGAAAUAUGCUUAUUUGGUUUACUAAUAGUCUGAACCUGUGCAGACUUAGCAGCAAUACUGAUAAAAUAUCAUUAAAUCCUUUUCAAGCUUUAAAAGAAGUUCAGAUUUGUCAUAACAUUUGGAGAAUAUUUUCGCUCCACACAAGUUUUGGAAAAUAAUCUUUGUGAAUUUUUUUAUCCUCUUGGGUAUCAUGAAUUGUAAAAUUUUGUUGCAGUUCUCAGUUACCAGUCUUGCUCCACUCAUUAAAACUGAUGGCAUUUUCAAUAAUAAGAAAACAAAAUUUAAAAAUGGGUAAACGAUUUGAACAGACACUUCACCACAGAAGAUACGCAAAUGGCAGAUAAGCACAAGAAAAAAUCUUUUCAAUGUCAUUAGUGAAACACAAGUCAAAACCACAGUGAGGUACUGCUACACACCUAUCUGAAUGGCUAAAAUUUAAGAAGCCAGCCAUGCCAACUGUUGGUAAGGAUGUGUAGGAUUUAGAACUCUCAUGUAAAAUGAUACAAACAUGUCAAACAUACACCUAUCAUAUGAUUCAGCUGUUUCACUCCCAGAGAAAAGAAAGCAUGUGCUCACCUGAAGACUCGUACGUGAAUAUGCAUAGUAGUUUUAUUAGUAAUAGCUAAAAGCUGGAAACAAUCCUAAUGUCUAUCAACAGGUAAAUGGAUAAACAAAUUGUGGUGUAUCUGUAUGAUGGAUACUACUCAAUAAUAAGAAGGAAUGAACUAUUGAUACCUUCAAUAACAUGGAUGACCCUAACCCAUGAGAGUCAUAUCAUAUGAUUCCAUGUAUACAGAAUUCUGGAAAAUGUGAAAGCAGAUCAGUGGUUACCUGGGGUAGGGGAGAUGGGGGUGGCAAGAAAGGGGUUACAAAAAGGCCCGAGAAAACUUCCGGGCUGGUGGAUAAUUUCUGUCUUGUGUUGAUGGUUUCAUGGGUGUAUAUAUGUCAAAACUUAUCAAAUUAUACAAUUUGAAUAUGUGCAGUUUAUCGUAUGUCAGUUAUUCCUUAAUUCUUAAAAAAAACUUAAAAUAAGAAAUCAUUGUUAUAGUAGAUGGAAGGCUUUAAAAUGCCCUUAUUUGGCAAAAUCAGCAUUUCUUGGGGGGAGGGGGGAACCUGAUAGAGUUUUAAUGGUUUGAGGACAGAAAUACGACCUUCUAGUACAGAUGAGAAACCAAAGUUAAACAGUGAACAUAAUAAAUGGGAUCUCUUUAGUCCCUUUUGUUUACAAAGCAUUUGAACAAGUGGUUCAGGAAGUAUCUUUUCCAGCAUGGUGGUUCCAGCUGCCUGCCCGACUUCUAAGCAUUAGCACUUAAACAAACUUACUGUAGCAGUCUACCGUGCAAUGUGGCUAAGACAUCCAAAGUUGCUGUGUUCAGAUUGCAAAGAUAAGACAUGAAAAUCCCCACUUUCAGAUUCUAUCAUUGUUGGAGAAAUAAAUCUCUCAUAUUUACACAGUGCAUGAAAAUUUAUGUAUUUCCAGCUGUAUUGAGGUAUAAUUGACAAAUAAAUUGUAUAUAUUCACAGUGUGCAAUAUGAUGUUUUGGUAUAUGUAUACAUUGUGAAAGGAUUACCACAAUCAAGCUAAUUAGCGUAUGUAUCACCUCACAUAGUUAUCUUUUGUGGUGAGAACGUUUUAAGAUUUUUCUCUCUUAGCAAAUUUCAGGUAUAUGAUGUAGAAUUAUUAACUAUAAAGUAUUUUCAUAAACCUCAUCCUGUGAAAUCCUUUCAAUGGUCCUAUUACAGGUAGGAUCAGUAUUAUCCUCGUUUGCUUUGGCAGCAAACUGAGACCCAGAGAAGCCAAGCUACUUGGCCAGGAAUACAGAGCCCCCAUCUUCUUGCUCAGAAAUCACCAUUCUAACUACUACACUUUGCUUCUUCCUCAAACUAUUGUCAUUGAGUGUUUGGCUAAGACUCUUCACUCACCAAUUUGUCAGGUAGUUAUUAGAGUUCCUUUUUAAAAAUAUGAGAUGUUCAAGAUGAUAAUUCCCUCUAAUCCUCUGUUUCCCCGUUUCUAAAUGGGUAAUAACACAGCCACCAGCUUCCCAAGUUUGUGACCCUUACACGUGGAAGAGUCAUGAAAAGUGGGCAACUCUGUGUACCCAGUGGGUGUUGAUGUUACUGUGUGACUGCCCUCUUUGUUCCUGGGUUACUGAUCACACAGUACUGAGUGGCUUUGCAAACCCAACAGGGAGACAUAGCAGUUUAGUUAACAUUAGUUGCCCUAUAGCUUCCUUCAGAAUUGGAAAGUUGCACAAUAAGAAAUCCUAUGUACUGGAUUAUUUUAAAUUCUUCUUUAAAGGACACUAAACCAUCAUUAGUUGGGUCCCAGAGACUCACCAAACAGAGCUUAGAGGCAGAUACCAUUGAGGUUUACUUAGCUAACAAGAUUGACCCAUGUCUGGCAUCCUCCUUUUCUCCUUGGUUGUGUUGCCUGUACAUCUCUCCUCCUUAUUCUUCAUCAUUUUCGAUGGCCUUCUCUCUUCACUAGCCCUCUAACACACUUUAGAAAAUGUUUUGUUUUUUUUUUAAAUAACUAUUUGAUGUAUUGGCAAAAUGAGCAGUUUUCCUGAGAGUUCUCUGUCUGUCCCGAC
rnacentral:lncRNA from 1 species